UACGUAGGGUGCAAGCGUUAAUCGGAAUUACUAGGCGUAAAGCGUGCGCAGGCGGUUAUGUAAGACAGAUGUGAAAUGCCCGGGCUUAACCUGGGAACUGCAUUUGUGACUGCAUGGCUAGAGUUUGGCAGAGGGGGGUAGAAUUCCACGUGUAGCAGUGAAAUGCGUAGAUAUGUGGAGGAACACCGAUGGCGAAGGCAGCCCCCUGGGUCAAGACUGACGCUCAUGCACGAAAGCGUGGGGAGCAAACAGG
rnacentral:rRNA from 1 species